UACGGAGGGGGCAAGCGUUAUUCGGAAUUAUUGGGCGUAAAGGGCGCGUAGGCGGCUAGAUGUGUCAAAGGUGAAAUCCCUCGGCUCAACUGAGGAACUGCCUUUGAAACUGUCUGGCUUGAGGCCGGGAGAGGUGAGUGGAAUUCCCAGUGUAGCGGUGAAAUGCGUAGAUAUUGGGAGGAACACCAGUGGCGAAGGCGGCUCACUGGACCGGAACUGACGCUGAGGCGCGAAAGCGUGGGGAGCAAACAGG
rnacentral:rRNA from 1 species